GCUCAACCGGGGAGGGUCAUUGGAAACUGGGAAACUUGAGUGCAGAAGAGGAGAGUGGAAUUCCACGUGUAGCGGUGAAAUGCGUAGAGAUGUGGAGGAACACCAGUGGCGAAGGCGACUCUCUGGUCUGUAACUGACGCUGAGGAGCGAAAGCGUGGGGAGCGAACAGGAUUAGAUACCCUGGUAGUCCACGCCGUAAACGAUGAGUGCUAAGUGUUAGGGGGUUUCCGCCCCUUAGUGCUGCAGCUAACGCAUUAAGCACUCCGCCUGGGGAGUACGGUCGCAAGACUGAAACUCAAAGGAAUUGACGGGGGCCCGCACAAGCGGUGGAGCAUGUGGUUUAAUUCGAAGCAACGCGAAGAACCUUACCAGGUCUUGACAUCCUCUGACAACCCUAGAGAUAGGGCUUUCCCUUCGGGGACAGAGUGACAGGUGGUGCAUGGUUGUCGUCAGCUCGUGUCGUGAGAUGUUGGGUUAAGUCCCGCAACGAGCGCAACCCUUGAUCUUAGUUGCCAGCAUUUAGUUGGGCACUCUAAGGUGACUGCCGGUGACAAACCGGAGGAAGGUGGGGAUGACGUCAAAUCAUCAUGCCCCUUAUGACCUGCGCUACACACGUGCUACAAUGGACAGAACAAAG
rnacentral:rRNA from 1 species